rnacentral:rRNA from 1 species
AAUAGAUACCCCGGUAGUCCACGCCGUAAACGAUGUCGACUUGGAGGUUGUGCCCUUGAGGCGUGGCUUCCGGAGCUAACGCGUUAAGUCGACCGCCUGGGGAGUACGGCCGCAAGGUUAAAACUCAAAUGAAUUGACGGGGGCCCGCACAAGCGGUGGAGCAUGUGGUUUAAUUCGAUGCAACGCGAAGAACCUUACCUACUCUUGACAUCCACGGAAUUUAGCAGAGAUGCUUUAGUGCCUUCGGGAACCGUGAGACAGGUGCUGCAUGGCUGUCGUCAGCUCGUGUUGUGAAAUGUUGGGUUAAGUCCCGCAACGAGCGCAACCCUUAUCCUUUGUUGCCAGCGGUUAGGCCGGGAACUCAAAGGAGACUGCCAGUGAUAAACUGGAGGAAGGUGGGGAUGACGUCAAGUCAUCAUGGCCCUUACGAGUAGGGCUACACACGUGCUACAAUGGCAUAUACAAAGAGAAGCGACCUCGCGAGAGCAAGCGGACCUCAUAAAGUAUGUCGUAGUCCGGAUUGGAGU